UGUUGCAUAUUGUUAUCUUCAAAAGGAUUGCUUAGUUGACCAGACACAGACAUGCAUAAUUGAUCUAGUCGCAUGAGUGUUAACUGUUCUUUUCUAAGAACUCAUAGAAUGAGUAGUAUAGUCAUCUUAGCUACCUUACGCAUGUAUAUACUAAUUUAUGUCUUUUCCCUUCCUCCUUUCAUUGUGGUCUCUUUCUGCAGCAGUUGUGACGUCCUCUUCUGCGAAUGUCUUCAGUGGCACCGUCCUGGCUACUUUGAUGCCUGAACUGAUUCGAGACAUUGGCCUUUCGGGGUUAUCUUGACCUCAGGGAAGGGGACUUCCAGACCUGCUUCAGAAAGUGGCACACACUGGGGUGGGAGGACAGAGUGAAUACAAGCAACAGGACAAGCACAUGGUUAUACAUGCGGGUGAGAGUCAGCGACGUGGGGCAGGACAGGGUGGCCCGAGGAGAGAUCUGGGUGCCAGGCCCUCAGGAUGGACUCAGCUGUGGAAAAGCCCAGGGGCAGAGGCUCAGACACUCGCCAAUGAUGCCUGCCAUGCUCUGGCAAAUGAAAACCUGAGUGUACCCUGCCGGGGGUGGGGGGGGCAGUCAGAGCCCUCUGGCUGGAGUCCCAGCAGAUGGAGCCCCCAAAGGACUGUGACCUCCAUCUCGGCACACGUUCAGCAUCUGCCAUGGUGCAGACAGCAGGACAAGCAGCUCUGUCACCCACUGUGUGGACGUGACAGCUGCUGUGCCCACUGAAGGGACCACUCCGCAUGCAUAACUCUGACCCUCCUGGACCCCUGGCCCACACUCUCAGGGGUGACGGGUGACAGUGGGGCAUGGACCUCUCACUUGGUGCACCUGGCCGCCACCCCUGGGUGGCAGAGGGUAGCAGUGGUCACAAGGAGGAGGUGGAGCAGGGAUGAAAGGGGAGGCCAGAUCGGACCUGAGACCCCAGGGAACAGGGAGGUGGCGGGAGGUGGGACACAGCUUUGCCAAGGUUCCAAGCCAAUCAGGCUUUGCUUACAAAACAUAACGCCAAGGACAGAAUGACUGAAAAAUCCAAGAUGGCAGUGCUCACUGAGCAUCUGACCCCAGGCAUGCAGCACCUCCCUGAGCACAGGGCCCCAGGGGUCGCAUGUGGACAUGACACAAGGCCACCAAGACCUUUUGUGGGUGUUGGGAAGCAGAGUGCCAGGUGAGGGGCAGGCGUUUGUGGGUCACUGUAAAGGUUUAGCGCUCCGCUUUGGGUUCAGGGUAAUCAGCAAGGAGUUUAAAGAAGGGAAGUGAUGUGCAUAGUCCUGGCAGGUCGAGGAUGGUGGCUUAGGGACAGGAUGCACAGAAGUGGUGGGUGAGAGACACGUUGGGUAAGAGUGGAGGAGGUCAGGAAGUGGGAGCCCCAGGAGCAGGAAGGACAAGCAGGGCCAGUGCUGGGGCUGCAGGGAAAGGGACACAUGUGGUGGGUGGAUAGAAUGAUGGUCAGAUCAACAAGACUGGGCAGUUCUCUCAGCCAGGGGCCUGGGACCGUUAGGUCUGCAAAUGCCAUUUCAUUGUCAUGCUUUUUUCCAUCUGGUGAAGUAAGUGGUGUAAGCUGAGCUCUUCUCUGUCAUCCUAGCAAGUUGUCUGUCACCUGUGUAAACCCCCCAGACCCUGGCGUGGGUGCCCAGCCGGGCAGCGUGCAGCAGGAAUCAUCAGGGAAGCCAGUGAAGGCUGUAAGUGUGGCUUCUGCCUCCUGCAGCUCACCUGCUCUUCCAAUCCAAACCAAGAAGCUGGGUGUGGCCCACAAUCCCAGCACUCUGGGAGGCUGAGGCAGGAGGAUUGGAGGUUCAAGCCCAGGCUGGGCAAUUUAGUAAGACUCCGUCUCUAAGUAAAAAACAUUUAAAAGGCUGAGAUAUAGUUCACUGUAAAAGUCCUGAGUUCAAUUUCUUGUUCCAUAGUGGGGAGUGGAGAGAGAAACCAAGUAGGAGCAAAAGUGAGCCCACAGGAGGAGGUACAGACUGGGGUGAACAGGACGGGAAGCACAGGGUCACAGCUGAGAAACCGACCUGUGCCUCAGUUGCCUUGAUGCCCCCUUUCCCUCUGCUCUGGGACUGGCAGGAGGCUCCCGGCUGUUCUGGGCAGAGGCUACAGCUGGGUUUCCCGUUGGCUUUCACAUAACCUGCACGGUCUCCCUUUUGGAAACCAACAAACCAGCCAAAAAUUCCCAAGCAUGAUGGAGUCACAGAGGGGAGGUGGGGAUGGGGGCAGUGAGAGGGGGCAGAGGAGAGAGAGGGUGAGGUUUGGGGACCCGGCGUCCAGUGGGAAGCAGCCACCAGCUGUCCAAGCCUGGGACGCCAGGUCCUGAGGCUUCGUGGUCCUGACUCAGCCUCCCCAGCGGUCCCUCUGGGGCCACUAUUAGAAUCGGUCCCACCAUUUCAUCCCUCCCUGGUGGCACUGGUGGGAGCACUGGAAAGCUUAAUGGGAAGAAAGUAAAGUACAAGUGAUGUCCCGACUUACUAGUUUAGAACAACAGAGGACAGGAAAAGGCACCUACCUGCAGGAGGAGACCCGCCUGCCUCUGUCCCCCAGUGGCUGAGCCUGUCUCUAGUUCUCUGCCCCUGAUUCACUGGGGACAAACAGCAGGGAGAAGCCAGCUUUUUGCACAGUGCCUGCAGGAAAUGAAAGAGAACUUCCUGAAGAAAUCAGUCUGUGAUGCUCAGGGUUGGAAGGAGUGAGCUGGUUUCUUCCCUAUGGAGUGUUACACACAUUAAGGCGCACUGUGAUUCUUCCAGAAGGGCGGAUGCCCAGGCUGGCUUCCUACUCAGCAGCUUUGUUCGCUGCUCUUCUUGGCUUGAUUUGUUGGGUUAGCAGACCUGUGUGUCUCCCCAGUCCCGAGAAGAUAAGUUGAAGUGUUCCCUCGCUUCUAGGUACAGAUACAUGAUGCAGUUCUGUAAGUAAUGAACGUGAUGGGAAUCCAGGCAUGGGGACUUCCAGAAGGGUUAUCUCAGCUCUUAAAACACAAGGCAGGUGUUUGCCUCUUCUGUCUUAGUACACUGCUGUGUGAAGACCUGAGUUUGGAGCUGUGGCAGCCGUGUUGGACUCAGGAGGGGAAAGCCAAGAAAAUUUCAGAGAAGCUGGUCUUGACCUUUGGAGUUGUUAAGCUGUUGCAAAAUUCCCCCUUCUUUCAUGGUCCUUUCAAUUUGUCUCUUUGUUUGCGCCAUGGCAUGUUUUGUGGUUUUCAAUUUAGGCCAUCUGGAACCACAGGGGAAAAAUCUAUUUCUCGAACUCAUCCCCAAUUCCUUGAACCCCUAAAGUAAUAAACAGGUGUGCCCUCAGUAGUGUUAAAGCAGUGAGGGAAGUAGUCCUGUUUCAAAGUCUCGUUUUUGCCUAAGAGUCCUAACCAUUCCAAAAACAAACAAACAAGCAAAACCAAUCUGUGUUCCCAGGCCUCAAAGCCUUCACAGAACCUCUGCCUCUGCUCAGUGGCUCUGGAGCCUCGGGGAGCACUCGGGGUGCUAGGUGUCCAGCCCACCCAAAGCUGGCGAUCUCCAGUGUAGAUUUGCUCUGGAGCCAAGGGGAUGGAGUUCCUCCUUCCAGAGCCCUGGCUGACACUCAGGAAGGCAGGUGGGACACGGCAGAGACAGUGCCAUCUGUCUGUCUGUCUAUCCGUCCGUCUGCCUCUUUACCUCUCUGUUGAGACAUUUUAUGUGCGUUCAUACAUUAAAUCCUAGAAAAGAAAGCCCAGGACUCCCCGCCCACAAUCCCCUACCACCCCUGCCACCAUUGCUGCAGUGCAGACGCAUCCCAGAGAUUGAUUGGUUCGGGGGCUGAUCACAAGGCAUUUGUUUCACUGUUUCCCCAACCAUCUCAUCAGCAGUGAUUUCAGAGGAGGCUCUCCAGGAGCCUCCUAGAGGCUGACCACGGAGCCCAGCCUCGUAAGAACCUGGCAUCAACUGUCUUUCUGCAUAGUGUUUUUGUUAGUGUUACUUGUUCUUGUGUGUGUGUGUGUGUGUGUGUGUGUGUGUGUGAGUGUGCCACACCCCAGACACCAUCAUGGCUUGGCAGGAAACCCAUGGAAGAUACAGGGUGGACCAGGCAAACACAUUCUCCUGCUGCAGCCACCACCCCAGGGCCCACCUGGUGCCGGGCUAGCGGGCAGGGCCUGGGGCACCUGGAACAGUGGGGAGCACACAUCCCCCAGCAGUGAGCACCAUGCCCAGAGCCCACCACGCCUGCCUGCUGCGCUCUCAGAGCUGCAAAGGCCCCAGCCCUGGGCUGGUUUCUCAGGAGAAGUGCAGAUGGGCAGAAGAGCCCGGUCACCUCUGAAGAGGCCUGGCAUGUUGGGACCACCUCGUGCGGGGCUGGGCACCUCGGAGAAGUGAGGGACAGACACGGGAGGGCAAGUGGGAUCACAGAAACCACGGGGAGAGGCACAAAUAGCUCUUAGGGCUCAAUAAAUCUGAUGGUCUGCAACUGGAGGGUGGGGUCUCUAAUUUUUCAGAUGUUCCUAGAGUAGUGACCCCCACAAUGUCUGGUGUCAGACUGUGGGGAAUGAAUACCUAAUGAAGCCGGGUGUGGGGCGCACUCCUGUAAUCCCAGCACUCGGGAGGCUGAGGCAGGAGGAUCAUUGUGAGUUCGAGACCAGCCUGGGCUACAAAGUGAGCUCAAGGCCAACCUGAACUGCACAGCAAGACCCUGUCUCAAAAAGACAAACAAAACAACAAAACAAACCACCUGAUAAAUGUGUCCAUCUGGGUGGGCUCCCAGGUGACUUGAACCAAGUUACGAAGCUCUGUUUCUUAUUCACUUAGGUGGACAGGAAUCAUCGAGGGUCUAGUCAACAGGGCUGGGGUGUGGCCUUGGAGUUCCUGAUUUUCACAAGCUGGGACAAGGUUACAGAGGACAGCUAAGAGUUAGCCCAUGGACAGGGGCCACUCUGAGCAGGGCCUGGUAAGUGUGGAGCAUGGAUUUAUCCUGCAGGCCACAGUGAGGCUCAGGGUGAAUGUCUCCGCUCUACAGAGGCCUGCAGGUACUGGUAAACCUCUGUCCAGCAGACCAUCAGAUUUACUGGGUCUGGAAAUGGGUUCAGGAACCUAUGCUUUUAUUUUUACUUUUUUAUUUUUCAUUUUUUAAGAGCCAAAGUCUCUCUGCGUGGCUCAGUUUAGCUCCAAACUCCUGGGCUCAAGUGAUCUUCCUGCCUCAGCCACCCAAAGAGCUGCGACAGCAGGACAGUGCCACUAUGCCCGACAGAUACUGCAUUUUAAAAAACCAACAAUUCUUAACUGGCUUUAGUUUCUAUUCUCGAAUUGGCCAACACUUUAUCCCAUAAAGUAAGUGUUCCCAGCGAUCCGCAUUCCUGGCAACAGGAACAGAUAAGGGUGACCCCCCCAGACACUCUGAUGUUUCAUACCCCUCAUUUGCUGGGACUGCACGCUGUGGGUAUCUGAGGAGAAGGACGGUGAUGAGUGCAUUGUAAACCAGUCUGGCUUGGGGCAUCUCCGGGCAGAGAAGGCCAUGGAGCAAGAGGACACGUUUUGAAGAACUAAAUGAAGUUCUGUGGCUGGAGUGAUGGAGAUGAAGGGGAAGACAGAUUCCAGGGAGAAGAGAGCACUGGAACUUCCUUCUGCCUGGGCUUACACACAACUGGAAAUUUCUUGCCCUUUUAGUUGUAAUUUAAAUAUCACGUCCUCAGAAAGACUUCCUUGACAGCCCACUCAGUCUAGAGUAGUGAGUCAGUCAUUCUCUGUCAAAUCAUCCUGCACGGAUUCUCUGAGAAUCUCUGAUUACUCUUGGGUAUUUUCCCAUUUGUCUGUAUAUUUACUGUCUCCCUUCUCCACAGGAGACAUUCUCCCAAAAUGGCCGCCAUGGUGUCCUCCUCUCAUUGUACACACAGGCUGCUCCACUGGUCAAGAUGAGAGGCUAAUUUUUCCUUCUGUUGAAUCUGGGCUGGCCUGGUGAAUUCCUAGCACUUGAUCUGACUGAUAGAAUGAUACGGAAAAGAUGCUGUGCUAGUUUGGGGCCUAACUUUUCAAAAGGCUUGUUGUCAGUGCCAAUUUUACUCAUAGAAACCAGCUGCCCUGUAACAAAUCUGCCUAACUCAAGACCACCAUGUGAUGAGGAAGACCAAGCUCUCCAAAUGGAGAAGUACCUGAGAGACACAGGCCCUUCAGCCCAGCCCAGCUGUCAGAUGAGGGAGUACCCUUGGAUGAUGACAUCAAAUGAUAACAGUACACAGAAGAGCUGCCUAACCUCACCCUGACCCAAUGCCUGGCAGAGAACUGUGAGACAUAAAUCCCUAUUGUUUGAAGUCACUAGGCCUUGGAGAGGUUGUUUAGGCAGUGACAACAGACAGACACACCUUUCUGUUAGAAUGAAACUUUAUGAGUUUAGCCUGGCAGUGCCUGGCACAUACAUGGACUCCACAGAUAUUUGUGGAAUGUGUUUUGUUGUUUGAGGUUCUGGGCGAUAGAAAUCAAGCCUCCAAAAUGUUGGACAAGUGCUCUAUCAGUGAGCCACACUUCUAGCCUUGAAGGUGUGAAUCCAGGGAAAAAUGGAGUUGUCUAUUUGUCAGAGAUCUUGAUACAAACAAAAAAUACUGUUGGACAGUGAGUCCUGGAAACUAAGGAAUUGAAGAUAGAAAAUAGGAUUUUCCAGGUUCGCAUAUCAAUUCUGAGUUUUGAAGGCUAUAGAUGUGGCAGGAGAAAAGAAGGAGACAAAUGUCACUGAGGCUAAGGAGGUAAGCCCUCAAGGCUAGUCUGUGGCUGAAAUGCACGUAGAAAAAUUCAACUUUUGAGUUUGUUGUAGGGUCACACACCUCUAAUCUCAGUGUUCAGCAGGCCGAGCAGGAGGAUCCCUGCAAGUGUAAAGUCAGCCUGGGCUAUUUAGUGAGUUCAAGGCCAGCUUGAACUAUAUAGUAAAACCUUGUCUCAAAGAAAAAGAAAUUCAACCCUCCCAGGAUGGUGGGAGGCUCGUGCUGGGGAAGGCCCUGGAAAUUUCCACCAGAGGACUGUGAGAGGCCCAUGGGGCAGAUGGAAUCCAGGGAAGGAUCUAGUUUCAAAGAGGGCAAAAACGACUACAUGGGGAGUGUGCAGCAGUAGGAUAGAGAGACAUUCAUAAAGUAACAGGGUCUCAGGACAAAAAAGGGCACCCAGGACGAGCCCAAGAGGAGUACCAGGGAGACCGCAGUGGGAGACCAGAGAGACAGGUGCGUCGCAGCAGUGCCGGCUGAGGGUCAUGGCUCAGGCUUCACUCUGGGCAGAGUGCAGGACGACUCAGUGAGAUCACCAGGAAGGCAACCAGCCUCAAGGCUUUGGCUGGCCCGGAGGUAUAAAAAUGUGCGUUUCCUGCCAAGAUAUCCAGAAGACAGAUAAUGUUUGCUAUUGGCAGCAGAUGCAGCAAUCUGAGACCUUGGCUCACGAUUCCAAAUAAGACUCUGGUGAAAGCAUGCGGGUAGCGCUGUGGGUCCGCCAGGGCAGAAAGCUCCGGAGCUUGUAGACCUCAGGACAGCGACUCUGCCUGGACUGUGGGUCUCAAAGCCUCCGUCAGGCCUGUCCGAGUCAGCGCUUGGGCUGGCACGCUAGUGUCUAGAAUCUUUCAAAUUGUAUAAAAUGAUCAACUUAGCAUUGUUCUUUCCUGUUAUAAAAAGAAAAUACACGUAACAAAAACUUUGUCUUCAAAUUCCCAAAGCAAAAAGCUUCCCGCUUCUGUCCUGAGUGAGAUAUAACCCUUAACAUGCUCAUUGUGGGAACCCACAGCUGCCCUGAGCUCUUGGUUCUUGUCCUGAUCCUCAAGUCAAAUGGGACCUCGCAGAGGACAGGUGACAGAACUGAACAAUGGCGCUCUCAAACACUGGCAGGCAUUCAUUAAGCUCCAGCUCAUUCACUGGGCCUCUUUUGAUUUCAGGUGACAUAAGCAGCUUAGGCCAUGUAGGAAAUUUAUUGGUUCAUACAAAAGGAAAAAGAAGAGGGGAAGAUGGUGAAGGAGAGAGGGAAGAAGGAAGGAAGGGAGCAGAGAAGGAAGGAAGGAAGGAAGCAAGGAAGGAAGGAAGGAAGGAAGGAAGGAAGGACAGAUCAGGUCACUCCAACACUGAAAUGAUGCUGGCCCCCACGCCCAUCACCUCAGCUCUGCUUCCUCAGUGCCAACUUUCUCUUGGGCAGGGUUUCCCAACUGGUGAUCUUCAGGGGCAUUAGGCUUGCUUCCUGCUAAGUUGGCAGCACCCACAAAAAGCUACCUCCUCUCCUGCUGCAAUGUUCUGAGCAGUGUUUCUCAUUGGUUAUGCUUGGGUCUCAUGCUGUCCUUGAACCAAUCAUGACCAAGAGGGUGCAGUGCUCUCACUGGCCAGGUCAGCUCAGAGCUGUGUGUGGUAGUACACAUCUGUAAUCUAGCAUUCUGGGAGGCUGAAGCAGGAGGAUUGCAAGAUCAAGCCCAGCCUGGGCAAUUUAGCAACUUAGGGAGACCUUGUCAAAAAAGAAGGAAAGAGAAAGAAAGAAAGAAAGAAAGAAAGAAAGAAAGAAAGAAAGAAAAAGGAAAAGAAACAAA